UACGGAGGGUGCAAGCGUUGUCCGGAUUUAUUGGGUUUAAAGGGUGCGUAGGCGGCUCUUUAAGUCAGUGGUGAAAUCCUACAGCUUAACUGUAGAACAGCCAUUGAUACUGAAGAGCUUGAGUACAGACGAGGUAGGCGGAAUUUAUGGUGUAGCGGUGAAAUGCAUAGAUACCAUAAAGAACUCCUAUUGCGAAGGCAGCUUACUAGGCUGUAACUGACGCUGAGGCACGAAAGCGUGGGGAUCAAACAGG
rnacentral:rRNA from 1 species